GUGAGGAAUUUUCCGCAAUGGGCGAAAGCCUGACGGAGCAAUGCCGCGUGAAGGAUGAAGGCCUAUGGGUUGUAAACUUCUUUUCUCAGAAAAGAAUUAUGACGGUAUCUGAGGAAUAAGCAUCGGCUAACUCUGUGCCAGCAGCCGCGGUAAGACAGAGGAUGCAAGCGUUAUCCGGAAUGAUUGGGCGUAAAGCGUCUGUAGGUUGUUUAAAAAGUAUUCUGUCAAAGAUUAGGGCUUAAACCUAGAUAGGCAGAAUAAACUUUUAAGCUAGAGUUUGGUAGAGGCAGAGAGAAUUCCCGGUGGAGCGGUGAAAUGCGUAGAUAUCGGGAGGAACACCAAAGGCGAAGGCACUCUGCUGGGCCAAUACUAACACUGAGAGACGAAAGCGAGGGGAGCAAAUGGGAUUAGAUACCCGUGUAGUCC
rnacentral:rRNA from 1 species